GCCACAAUUAGAAGUCAAAAAGAAACACCAACAGAAUCAUUACAUGUUUGAAGCUCAUUCAGAAAACAAUAAGCUUAUUGGUCAGAUUCAUCACCCCGGCAAAUAAAUUGAAACUCGAUUCAUAUCCAAAAUAGAAGAUGUUUGGAAGGCCGCUAUCUCUAAUUUAUUCGUCACAAGAAAUUCACAUUUCAGUCGUAGACAACAGCAAGACUACUUAAACGACUUGAU
rnacentral:misc_RNA from 1 species